GCACCUAUAGCUCAACUGGAUAGAGCGUCUGGCUUCGGACCAGGAGGUUGUAGGUUCGAGUCCUACUGGGUGUA
rnacentral:tRNA from 1 species